rnacentral:lncRNA from 1 species
CCUGUCCUCUGGGGUAGAAGCCUGAGACAGAGCUGUUUGUGUUUCAGGAGCACAAGGUUACCUGGGGCAGAAACAGCACAAACUGUGGUCAGGCAGAGCCUUGUGCUUGCUGCUGGCUGCCAGGCACUGUCCCCACAGAGCUGCACACAGGACACUGUGUCACUUCUGUCCUGUCACGGCUUUAUUCUGCCAUGUCACCUCAGGGCAACUCCUGGCCAGGGCCCAUGUGGUACCCACAGGAGCUAAGCGACCUGCAGAGGUGGCAGUGAGCACAGCCGGGCAGCCUCUCAGGACCAGGAAGUGGGCCUGACUUUUUCUGAGCCGUUAACAGACACGAGGGACAGGCUGGCCUCGAAGGAGGCCUGGAACCAGGCUGAGGCUCGGUUUCUCUCUCUACCACGGGACCUGAGGGUGGGUGGGCUCUUCAUGCCCCAGGUCAUGACCUCUCCUUGUUAAUGAGCCAUGAAUCGGUAGCAUUUCUGUGUGUCCCUUCUGAAAUUACCUUCUAACAUGCAUCGCUUUUCUGCUGGGCCAACUUGUGCCCCUUCUGGUAUGAGCCAUGAUGGCGACUUUCAGAGUGGUCUGGGCUUUGGCCUCCAGCCCUCCUGAUGGCCCGGGUGGGCCCCAGUUCCAUGUCUCCCCUCUGUUCUGUCACAGAUUGGGGCCCAACAGGAGGAGAGCAGGGCAGAGGACUGCAUGGUGAGGACGGCGCUGGCAGGCAUGCAGCACCCGCUGAGGGAGCCCCCGGAAUGGGACUUUCUGGACAGCUGCCCCAUCCACGAAGACUCCCUCCUGGACCCCUCUGGGGCCUGCAUUCCCACCCUGCAGGAGGGGAUGGUGCGAAGGCGAGCUCUGUGGUUGGCACCCAGGGGCACUUGGCCACUGUGGCCCCAAGUCUUUGGAAGGUCCUCUUUUUCUGUCCUCCACUUCCUGGUGGAGCUGCACUCCCAGGAGACUCCACUAGCUGAACUCUGGCCCAGCUGGAGCAAGCUGAGCCCACUGAGGCACAGCCCACAGGUUAGGAGGACGGGGUGUGGGCCUGUGGGCAUGAGGGGAGGGAUGGGCCUUUAGACACAGAGACAGCUUCCGGGUGCUGGGGUGACCUGGGAUCACUGUAGACCUCAGCCGUCAUGGUCUGGGAGGACUUCCUGGGGAGGCUUUGUGCACAGAGCUGUCUGAUGGGCAGUGGGGAGGUUUUGCCCUGGGAGGGAACAUGGACAGUUGGUGACUUUUUCUUCUCUUGGAACUGCAGGGCCAGCUCCAGCCCCAGCUGAAGUCUCAUGUGCGGAGCCCGAGCCAGCUCCACCUGCAGCUUCCUGCCCAGUGCUGGGACCACAGCCAGAGUCUGUGGCAGCCCCUUCACCUGCUGCCGUGCUGGGGUACCUGGUGAUUGCAUGGCGGUCGGUGUCACCUCCUGAGCUCCGCCUGGGGCCAGCUCCUGGCCCCCUCCCACUGUUCCCCUCACUUAUGCUGGCUCUUGUUUUGGUGUUUACAAUUGCCCUUAUUUCUUGGAUUUAUAUAAAUAAUAGAACUAGCUUUUAAUAAAACUUAAAAUUUUAGUGUUAAAAGGGUCAGCAUGGCAGCCUAAAGUGUCUUCUCCCUGUGUGCGCCCAUCCCCAGAGCACUGUGCUUGGUGGCUCCUGCCCACACCCCUGGGCACUGCUUCUCUCGUGUCCCCACGGGCACCUGGCCUGCAGGGUUCACACCAGUGCAGUCGGACUUGCCUUUGGCCACACAGUCGUGAGAGGGGCUGAUGAAUCUUGUGCUAUGCAGAAGGGGAAACCCUAGAAAGAUCCUGGCCAUUUUUCAUUGGCUUCUUCAGUAGGUAAUCCAGGUUGUGUUGCCAGACAGGAUGUAUUUAUUACAGUAAGAUAACGUGUGCAGUCUGAAUGAAGGACAGGAGAAGGGCACCAUCGCAGGAAACCCACUGGGCCGUGGCCUCCCCUAGGCGGCCCCUCCCUGUCUGCAUCUCGGGGUUCAGGCUGUGUCUUCCCUGCUGGGAGGGGGUGCGCCACUCCUCAGCUCUCCUACCAUCUCAUUACGUGCGUGGGGACCUGGCCUGUCAAGCUCAACCCCACACAUUCAGGGCCCCAGUGACACAGUUGGCUCAGCAGCCUCUGCCCUCCUGGUUCCAGGGUCCCCGGUGUCUGUGUCAUCAAUGCUGCUUUUUAGGGUGGAAGCCUGGCAGCGGAGACUCCUCAUAGUCACAGGAGCGGGGCCAGAGAUGGGCUCCUUCUGCGGAGUUUGCAGGGCAGAGCAUGCCAUCCUGGCUGAGCUUCAGGUGACCUCCUGGAAGGAUGAACAGUCUUGCUCCACUGAGUACAGCUGUAGUAGAAAUUCAUAUUUUAAAAACGUUCAAUUUGAGGGAAAGCUUUAUAUAAGACACAUAGUUUUAAAAACUGAAGUGAUUACAGGGUAGCAGAAAGGCCUUGCUAUUCUGUAACAAUGU